rnacentral:rRNA from 1 species
AACGAACGCUGGCGGCAGGCUUAACACAUGCAAGUCGAGCGCCCCGCAAGGGGAGCGGCAGACGGGUGAGUAACGCGUGGGAAUCUACCCAUCUCUACGGAAUAACGCAUGGAAACGUGUGCUAAUACCGUAUACGUCCUUCGGGAGAAAGAUUUAUCGGAGAUGGAUGAGCCCGCGUUGGAUUAGCCAGUUGGUGGGGUAAAGGCCUACCAAGGCGACGAUCCAUAGCUGGUCUGAGAGGAUGAUCAGCCACACUGGGACUGAGACACGGCCCAGACUCCUACGGGAGGCAGCAGUGGGGAAUAUCGGACAAUGGGCGCAAGCCUGAUCCAGCCAUGCCGCGUGAGUGAUGAAGGCCCUAGGGUUGUAAAGCUCUUUCACCGGUGAAGAUAAUGACGGUAACCGGAGAAGAAGCCCCGGCUAACUUCGUGCCAGCCGCCGCAGUAAGAC